GGUGGGAUGGCCGAGUGGUUUUAAGGCGCCAGUCUUAGGUUUCUCUGAUAACUGGUGGAUUCAUCCGCGCGAGUUCGAAUCUCGCUCCCAUCA